GCUUCCUUGGCUCAGUUGGCUAGAGCGCAGGUCUCAUACUCCGGUAUGAUGUUGCAUUCGUGACAAUAAUCCUGAGGUCGCAAGUUCGAGCCUUGCAGGGAGCA